rnacentral:rRNA from 1 species
UUUUAUUUGAGAGUUUGAUCCUGGCUCAGGAUGAACGCUGGCGGCGUGCCUAACACAUGCAAGUUGAGCGAUUUACUUCGGUAAAGAGCGGCGGACGGGUGAGUAACGCGUGGGUAACCUACCCUGUACACACGGAUAACAUACCGAAAGGUAUGCUAAUACGGGAUAAUAUAUUUGAGAGGCAUCUCUUGAAUAUCAAAGGUGAGCCAGUACAGGAUGGACCCGCGUCUGAUUAGCUAGUUGGUAAGGUAACGGCUUACCAAGGCGACGAUCAGUAGCCGACCUGGGAGGGUGAUCGGCCACAUUGGAACUGAGACACGGUCCAAACUCCUACGGGAGGCAGCAGUGGGGAAUAUUGCACAAUGGGCGAAAGCCUGAUGCAGCAACGCCGCGUGAGUGAUGAAGGCCUUCGGGUCGUAAAACUCUGUCCUCAAGGAAGAUAAUGACGGUACUUGAGGAGGAAGCCCCGGCUAACUACGUGCCAGCAGCCGCGGUAAUACGUAGGGGGCUAGCGUUAUCCG